rnacentral:lncRNA from 1 species
CUCUAUUUUUCCCCCGGGGAAUCUUUAGAAUUACCACUGCUUAGCUUUCAAUUCGCCUCUGACCAUCAAAUGAAAUGUGAAUAACCCGUCCUCCUCUCUUUGAAACAAGGGGCGCUUCUGGUUCUGUCGGUGCUUGAAACAAUUUUGUCUUCUCCAUAUUACUAUAUCUCUAGAGUCAAUAAUUUUAUAUGAGGAACUACUGAACUCAAUCACUUGCUGUCGUUACUCUUCAGUUUUCUGUUGAGGUCUAUCCUGUAGAGGUACU